AGACAUUUACCGAUGACUGGGAAGAACUCGACGUUUACCGACAUCGAAAGAUGAUGUUCAGAAAUGAAACAAGACCAGACAUUUACCGAUGACUGGGAAAGAAACUCGACGUUUACCGACAUCGAAAGAUGAUGUUUACCGACACCAAAAAAGGACGACCAGACAUUUACCGAUGACUGGGAAGGAACUUGAUGUUUACUGACACCAAAAAAGGAACGGC
rnacentral:lncRNA from 1 species